CUACUGUCUAUUUAUUAUCUCAACUACUUUUUUUUUCUCUGUUAUUAAUCGUCUGGGCUGAGUGAAGGAUUGUUUCUACUGAGAAUCAUGUGAUCAUAGAUGAAAGAAUUAAGCCAAGCAUAACUUCACAUUUAUUGUAAGUGUAUUUAUGAUUAAGAAAUGUGCUGAAGAGAUACCUGAGUCAUGAUGACACAAUCUUAAUUGGGUCCGAAGAAAUUCCUUUGAAAGGGAGAUUAGCUUUUGGCGUCUUGUACAGAAACUUGGUCGUGCGGUUUGUAUCCUUUUUUUUCCUUAAAAAUAAAAAUUUAGGGGACACGUUGAUUAGUCUGCUAAUAAAACAUGUUCAUGAAGUUCCUACGAAAUGUACGCCUUUAGGUUUAAAAUAAUUGUAAUACUUCUGUAUUAACUUAUAGUUAGUCUUUAGAUGUUAGUAUAAACUACUUUAUUAAUUAGAAAGCAAAAUGUUAAAUUGAUAUCUUGGAUAUUAUCUUUCUGA